GAUGAACGCUGGCGGCGUGCCUAAUACAUGCAAGUCGAACGAACGGGCCAGGCGCUUGCUUCUCUGAUGUUAGCGGCGGACGGGUGAGUAACACGUGGAUAACCUACCUAUCAGACUGGGAUAACUACGGGAAACCGUAUCUAACACCGGAUAAUAUUUUGCACCACGUGGUUCAAAAGUGAAAGACGGUCUUGCUGUCAGUUAUAGCUGGAUCCGGGCUGUAUUAUCUAGUUGUGAAGGUAAUGGCUUACCAAGGCAACUAGGCAUAGACGACCGCCGAGGGUGAUCGGCGACAUGGGAGCUGAGACAGCGUCCAGACUCCUGCGGGAGGCAGCAGUAGGGAAUCUUACGCAACGGGGGAAAGCAUGACGGAGUAACGGGGCGCGAGUGAUGACGGUGUUCGGAGCGGAAAGACGGGUUAUGAGGGAAGAACAGAUGUGUACGUAACUGUGCAGAUAGUGACGGUACUGAAUCAGAAAGCCACGGCUAACUACGUG
rnacentral:rRNA from 1 species